AAUUGACAUGAUAAUGAAAUACUAUUUAGGUUGUUAUUUACCUUUUGCAUAAUGGUUUAAUUAUAUUUAGUAAGAUUAAAAUUCCCGAAACUUAAAGAGCUAAUUUUAUUUUUUUUUAGAUAAUUAGGAUAAUGUUACAAAAUUAUCUGUAAAAUUAAAUUUAGGAGUGAAAGACCUAUCAAUUUAAGUGAUAUCUGGAUAAGCUAAUAAUGUAUUUAGUACAGAUUUAUAAUUUAAUUAAAAAAUGUUAAGAUUUUUUAAUAAAAGUAUUUAUUACCUUAUUUAUAGUGGGGUAAUACCUCCAAAUAUAGAAAAAAAUAAUAUUAAUAAUUUAUAUCUUUAAAUUUAUGCUUAGUAACUAAUACAAUAAUUUAUUUAUAAUGUUAAAAUUAGUAUAUAUAAAAUUUAAUUUAAGGAACUCGGCAAAUGAUUAUUCAACUGUUUAUCAAAAACAUAGCCUUAUGAAAUAUAUAAGGUAAAACCUGCCCUAUGAUAUUUUAAAUGGCCGCAGUACUUUGACUGUGCUAAGGUAGCAUAAUAAAUUGACUCUUAAUUGGGGCCUUGAAUGAAAGGAUAUUUGAAUAAAGACUGUCUCAAAUUAAUAUUUAAAAUUUACUUAGAAGGUGAAAAUUCCUUCCGUAAUAAAAAAGACGAGAAGACCCUAGGAGUUUUAAAUUUUGUUGGGGCGACAUUAUAGCAUUUAACCUAUAAAGAAUUUUAUUAUAUAACGAUAAUUAUAAUACUAAUUAAACUACCCUAGGGAUAACAGCAUAAUUUUUUAAGUUUGUGACCUCGAUGUUGGACUAGGAACAUUUAAAGUUAACAGCAUUAAAUGAUUGUUCUGUUCGAACCUU
rnacentral:rRNA from 1 species